GACAUGGCUCAGGAUGAACGCUAGCUACAGGCUUAACACAUGCAAGUCGAGGGGCAGCAUGGUCUUAGCUUGCUAAGGCCGAUGGCGACCGGCGCACGGGUGAGUAACGCGUAUCCAACCUGCCUUACACUCUUGGACAGCCUUCUGAAAGGGAGAUUAAUACAAGAUGUUAUCAUGAGUAAGCAUUUUCACAUGAUUAAAGGUUUACCGGUGUAAGAUGGGGAGUGCGUUCC
rnacentral:rRNA from 1 species